UAGACUAUGGAAAUAACAGAGCAGAAGCCAGCUGGUUUGUCUCUCUUCUCAGAUUUGUUGACUUCUUCCAGAAUGCAUGGAAUUUGUGACAUAAAAAGAGGCGCUAUAAUCAUAUAACAGAUGAAGUACUGAGGUUGGGCUUAAAAGUUCUGGACUCAAAUUCCUGCUCAGAUAAAACUCACUGCAUAUCCUUGGGUAUCACUUAACUGAUUUCAUAAAUAUACAAUUGCAUGCGGAAACCUCAAGAGUGCCCAGCUUUUUCUUUUUUAAUAACCACAGAAUGGUUGCAAUACAGGCU